CCCGUGCAUCCCUGGGAGCGCUGUCCAAAGGCUCCUGGAGCUCUGGCAGCCUCGGAGCCAUGCCCAUGCCCUGAGGAGCCUGGGCAGUGCCCAGCACCCUCUGGGGGAAUAACUUUUCCUGAUACUCAGCCUAACCUUGACAGAGCUCCAGCCGUUCCCUGGGUCCCAUCACUGCUCGCAGAGAGCAGAGCCAGCCCUCGGGCGGAAGCUCAGGACCCCUAAAGAGUUCCCAGCUCAAUCUCCUCUCCAGCUCAACAAGCCCACCAGCCCCAGCCGCUCGCGUGGCCCAGCAGGGUCUGUUUCAGAGGCAGGCUCCACAGCUGCCCGAGCCAAGGGGAUUUUUCCCCGUUCCCGGCACAGCCGCCGCUGGCACGGCAGGGAGCGACCCCCGCGUUCAGCGCUGCGCGGCGGACACGGGCGGGACAGGGGCGGGAGCGCAGCCCGCGGUACUGCCCGCAGCCCCCCGCUCCCCGGCCCUGCUGAGCUUCCUUUUGUCCCCCUCCCAGCUGGUUUCUUUUUUGCCGUGGUCCCGUCCAGUCUCCAAGGCAAUGUUCAUCACCAAGUUUUGGGUGCAGACCGCGCUGGGGCCGGGGUUUUGUCAGGCAGGAGGAUUUGUUGGGAGGCUCCGGAGAACUUUGCUCCAAUCGCUCCAUCCCCCCCUGUACGGCAGUACCCAUCCCUCGUCCUAAACACCAGCACGUCCCUUCGCCCCGCCCACGCGCCUCAUUACAUCGGCACAUCGCCCCGCCCCCUCAUUACCGUGUAAUAAUCAGCAGGCCACGCCGCUCCCGGCGACAGAGACAGAUUAUCGAUACAUAGAUAUAGAUACAUGGAUAUAGAUGAUAUAGAUGGCUGUUCCCGGCCACAUGUUUGACCAUACAGCGACGGUGAGCAGGAGAGCCGGUCGCCAUCACAGCGCUCAGAGCUGCACUCGACCAAAAGAAAAAAGGUGGGAAUAACCUGGGAGGCAGCGCUAAGCAGGUGGGCUCGAGGGUGGCAGGUCACAAGCUGAGGAACAGAGAGAGGGCCCAGCAAAAAUACAGGGUACAGGUUAGGAUACAAGGUAGAGGUACAUCAGUCCUCACCCCUGCCCUAGCCCUUACCUUAAACACCACGCAAGCAGCUGAGAGGCAGAGGGGCAUCUCAAACAGCAAAGCCGGGGCUCCAGGGUGAUAUACAGAUGCCAGGGGCCAGAAACAGUAAAUGAGAGACUGAGAAGAAAGGAACAAAUAUCAGGUGGGCUUGACAGUGUCAGAGAGAGACUUUAGAGAGGAACAACUCAAGGGCUAGAGAGCACACAGUGAAUAUCAGGGGUACAGGUUGGGAUAUAAGGCAGAAUACAGGUGUACCAGCCCUCACCUCAUGCCAGCCCAUACCCUAAACAGCAACCCUAAAGGAGGACAAGGGCAGAACCCCCACAAGUGCCCGCAGUAACUGUAAUGCUAACCCUAAGCAGGGUGCAGUAGUGGAGGGUUAGGGUUCACAGGUACACCCCCAGGGAUAACCGGGGGAUUCCCUCCCAGCCCACCCAGGGAUGCCUGUAGCCCACAGCCAGGGAAGCUCACAACCUUGACUGUGGCCAUGGUUGGUUGGUUCAAUGGUGAGACUGCUGCGAAGAGCGCAGCUCUGCAAGGGUCGGCCUCUGAGGGCCGAGGAGCCGGGCGUCCUUAGGAGAAUGCCGUGACCAAGGGACCACAGCCCGGUGACUGCAGGAAAUUGCCAGCGAGAGAGGCGGCCUUCCUUUGCAGCAGACGUGGCUUCUCAUCCCAGGAUGCUCGAGAGAUAAGUCGAGGGCUGUGACAUGCAGGGGGGAAUGAAAGUGAGGUACUGGGAGAACUUUUUUGUUGUUACCUUAUUGCAAAAGUUUCAUACCUUGGUGUUCUCUCAUGGGCAGCCCCUCAGAGCACCAACUCUUUCUUCCUCACAAAGUAGCAACUAGCUCCAUUUGCCUUCUCAACCAGCCAACCCCCUCUUUUAUAGCACUCUUCUCCUCACUGGUCACAGCUGUGGCCUGUUAAGGUCAGGCCUGUUCCUAAUCUUUGGUAAUUGGCCCAGCUGCAGCUCCUUAGGCGUGAGAUUAUUUUCUGCACUAUAUUUUCUUAUAUUUCUAUCCCCCCACAAUUUUGGAGUCAGCUCUGGAGGCGAGGAUGUGCAAGAGGUGACCCCUCUUAGGCCAGGUAAAGAACAAGCCCCACAGUGCUGAGGGGCUCAGGUCAGUCUCUGUUUGUCUUUGCAGAAGAAGCGUACACGGUGACUCUGUGUUACAGCAUUAUUGUUCGUCCUUGUUUUUAGGAAGUAAAGCCGGACUUUAGCAGUCAGGCGUUCCAGUGGUAUUACGCCGAGACUCCCUCAGCAACUGGCCAGCGGACCCGGUUCAUGGCUCUUGUGGGAAUUGAUCUUGAGGAGUAAAUUUCUGUUCAAGUGAUUAUUUAUUUUUUUUGAUCUAUUAUUAUGUUGGUCUUAGUCGUGUUAAUUGUUUUAAAUUAUGUUUUUGACACUUUGAGGCAACUUCUUUGUGGUUUUGUGGUUUUUUGUUUGGGUUUUUUUUUGUAACUAAUAUUAUACAAGUAUUUUUUUGUAAUGAUUUUAGUAAUUUUAAUUGUUGUGGCUUAACUGUAAUUUGGACAAGAGUGUAUAAAUUGUAUUUCAAGAGUUUGUGAUGUAUAGGAUUUACUGAUUUACAAUUUAAAGUUUGUGAGGGAUAAGGUUAGGUGUUAAGAGGUAUACUAACAAUAUAUGUAGAAAAUGGAUUUUUAGGAUUGGUGACUGAUGAACACUGGAUGCGUGGUUUUAGUUAGGGUUGCUUAUGUGUUUUGUUUUGGUUGUGGAACUAUUUAUGUAGGGUUUUUUUGGUGUAUUUUAAAUAAGUUUUGACACAGUGAGCAGCAAUCUCGUGUAUUUAUUUUUUGUGGAAACAGGUAUAACUUUUUCUUCAGGUUAUGAAAUUUACAGGAUUACUUUAUUGAUUACUUACUAAAUAUUGUUCUCGAGUAGGUUUUCGUAACUCUGAUUUUGAAAUCAAAGAAAAAUGAGUGGAAAAAGAUGAGGUAGAGCAGUUUUCUCCUUAUGGGAUAUAAAGGGUUUAACACAGAA